rnacentral:rRNA from 1 species
AUUGAACGCUGGCGGCAUGCUUUACACAUGCAAGUCGAACGGUAACAGGCCUUCGGGUGCUGACGAGUGGCGAACGGGUGAGUAAUGCAUCGGAACGUACCCAGAGGUGGGGGAUAACGCAGCGAAAGCUGUGCUAAUACCGCAUGUGAUCUGAGGAUGAAAGCGGGGGACCGAGCAGCAAUGUUUGGCCUCGCGCCUUUGUAGCGGCCGAUGUCGGAUUAGCUAGUUGGUGGGGUAAAGGCCUACCAAGGCGACGAUCCGUAGCUGGUCUGAGAGGACGACCAGCCACACUGGGACUGAGACACGGCCCAGACUCCUACGGGAGGCAGCAGUGGGGAAUUUUGGACAAUGGGCGCAAGCCUGAUCCAGCAAUGCCGCGUGCGGGAAGAAGGCCUUCGGGUUGUAAACCGCUUUUGGCAGGAACGAAACGGUGUCCGCUAAUACCGGGCGCUAAUGACGGUACCUGCAGAAUAAGCACCGGCUAACUACGUG